GCCGGACCGCAACCUGCCUAUCUCCCCUGCUUUAUUUACCACGGAGCUCGAGGAGCAGCAGAAGAGGCAGCGUGCGCCCUGUUUGCAGCCCUGAAAGGACACCGAGACACUUGAACGCGGGCGGGGGGAGGGGAUGGUGCCCUGAUGCGCUGAAGGACUGUACCAGCAUCACUGCCACAGAAACCCGCACGCAGGCAGCAGCAGGAGAGAAAGGGAUUUAUCGUAGCAACACUGAACCAAGACUACACUUCAGCCCUUUAUAUGGAACUGCUGACAGAGGAAGCUGCAGAACUGAAAGCAGUCAGCCCUUGACUGCAUGAGACUAUGCCUCUCACAGAAGGCAAAUGAUGUCUUACUUCAAAAACUUUAUGAAAUGCAAACUCAUUGAUUCACUUUUCUUAGAGCUGUUACACUUGAAUAACUGGAGAAGGUUAAGGUUCCUAUUCACUUCAAAUGAAGAUUUAUAGUUUAAUUGGCUCUGAAGACUACAGAGGUCACAUUGAAAAAAAAAAAGGAAAAACCUUUUCUUUUAGCAUACAGGAUAUUUCUUCCUCGUACUACAGGAGUGCCUAUUUAGAUACAUGGUGAACUAAAACUCAACAAGUAUAGAACAAAACAUACAGAACAACAUUUUUUCACAGAAAAAGGCAGCCUCUGAAAAUGUGACGUCAGUAAGAAGGAAUACAACAGCAAAGUACCUAACAGAGCAAUAUUUUUAUAUUAUUGCAAUAGCAGUAAUACUAUCACUAAAUCCGUAGAAAAGUAACUGCUUACAAAUGUAAGUAGUGAUCUAAUAUUAAUUAAUCAAUACUGCUGCAGGCAUUGAGUGUGGGUAACUGUAUUUUCAGCUUUGUAGUGCAGAAGUUCGGGUUGUAAACUUGUGUGCUUUCAUGAUUUAAAUAACAGAUUGGACCUUUUGCUUUAUAUUGUUUGUGCCUAGAUUAAAGAUAAAUGGCUGGUAGUUUG